rnacentral:rRNA from 1 species
GAUGAACGCUGGCGGCGUGCCUAAUACAUGCCAGUCGAGCGAACAGACGAGGAGCUUGCUCCUCUGACGUUAGCGGCGGACGGGUGAGUAACACGUGGAUAACCUACCUAUAAGACUGGGAUAACUUCGGGAAACCGGAGCUAAUACCGGAUAAUAUAUUGAACCGCAUGGUUCAAUAGUGAAAGACGGUUUUGCUGUCACUUAUAGAUGGAUCCGCGCCGCAUUAGCUAGUUGGUAAGGUAACGGCUUACCAAGGCAACGAUGCGUAGCCGACCUGAGAGAGUGAUCGGCCACACUGGAAGUGAGACACGGUCCAGACUCCUACGGGAGGCAGCAGUAGGGAAUCUUCCGCAAUGGGCGAAAGCAUGACGGAGCAACGCCGCGUGAGUGAUGAAGGUCUUCGGAUCGUAAAACUCUGUUAUUAGGGAAGAACAAAUGUGUAAGUAACUAUGCACGUCUUGACGGUACCUAAUCAGAAAGCCACGGCUAACUACGUG